AGUGAACGCUGGCGGUAGGCCUAACACAUGCAAGUCGAACGGCAGCACAGUAAGAGCUUGCUCUUACGGGUGGCGAGUGGCGGACGGGUGAGGAAUACAUCGGCAUCUACUUUUUCGUGGGGGAUAACGUAGGGACACUUACGCUAAUACCGCAUACGAUCUACGGGAGAAAGCAAGGGAUCUUCGGACCUUUCGCGUUUGAAUGAGCCGAUGUCGGACUAGAUUGUAGGCGUGGUAAGGUCAAGGCCCACCAAGGCGACGAUGCGUAGCCGGUCUGAGAGGAUGAUCAGCCACACUGGAACUGAGACACGGUCCAGACUCCUACGGGAGGCAGCAGUGGGGAAUAUUGGACAAUGGGCGCAAGCCUGAUCCAGCCAUACCGCGUGGGUGAAGAAGGUCUUCGGGUUGUAAAGCCCUUUUAUUGGGAAAGAAAAGCAGCAGAUUAAUACCCCGCUGUUCUGACGGUACCCAAAGAAUAAGCACCGGCUAACUUCGUG
rnacentral:rRNA from 1 species